GUUUGAUACCCGGUACCAAAAAAACCCCCCAAAACAAAAAAAGUAACUCAAAAAAAUAACAACAGGGCUGGGAUGUAGCUCAGAGGUGUUGCACCUGCCUGGCAAGCGUAAAGUCCUGAGUUCAAUUCCUGUACCGAAAAAACAAAAACAACAAAGUUAGAAAACUAAGCUGCAUAGCACACAGCAAAGGCCUUAAAACAAAACAAAACAAACCUUGCAAGUAUUACCAUGGAACUGCUGCCUGCAAUUUGAGAACUCUUAAAGAAUAGAUAAACCCUGGAAGAUUUAGACAAGUGAUAUUAAAAGCUGUCAUGAAGUGAGCAACUUUCUUCUGCCACACCCUCCCACCUUGAUGUUUCUGCCUCACACAGAUCUAAAGAGAUGGAACUAGCCAACCAUGGACUGACACCUAUGAAACCAUGAACCACAUAAGCUUUUCUUCCUUUAAGCAGAUUGUCAUGGUUAUUUUGUCUCAGUGACAAAAAGCUGGUCAACACACCUAAUUCCAUCAAAAGUUAUAGGUCAAAGAGGAAGGGCAUCACAUCGGCACUUUCUGAAAGCUGUCUCGGAAACAGAGAUUGUGACGGAUUGUAUUCUUCCAGCCUUCUUGGAGCUGUCCCGAAGAAAGGGGAGUGCUGUGAAUCUGCUCGGUCAUGAGCAGGUGCGACUUGGUGAAGGAGAGAAAGCACUUGUUCCCCAUGUCCCAGGCCAGGAGCCCGGGGACCUCGCCAUGGAGGCUGGCCCAGAAGUCAGAGUCACGGAGCUUUGUGGCCACCGUGGGCGAAGGAGUGGAGCGCAGGUGGGGAGCUCGGCCCCACGCCCACGCCGCUUCUUAAGUAGUCGGCGGUCCAGGUGCAGGCCAAGCAAGCGGCGCAGAUGCCCGAGCUCGCCACUGCCCCGAGGGCUCUCUGUGCCCUGGUCCUCGGAACUCAAAGUUUGAGGAUCCAGGAGGACGCACAAUAUGUAUCUCACACCUUUUCUCCCCUGGCGCCGCACAAACCUCUCAGAAGGAUCCUGCAGCAGGGCUAAUAGCGGCUUCCUGAAAGUUCUAAUAGGUUUUAUGGUUUAUCUAAGAUCGCAUCUAUAGUAGGCGGUGGAGCUAGCCUAAGAGUCUAGUUUUUAAGUGUUCUGACCAUGAAUAAAUUAUAAAUAUGUGAGCUAAAACAUUUGUUAGAUUUAGCCAUUGCACAACACGUCUGGCCUGGAUUUUGCAGUGAUCCUUUUGCGUCAGCUUCCUAAGUGCUGAGAUAACAGGUGUGUGCCACCAUGCCUGGUUUUGUUUAUGUAUUUUACACUUGAUCUUAGCCAAAAGGCCGAGAAGCGAUUGUUGUU